AUGCUAUGUGUCUUUCUCUUUCUUGUUUUUCAUGCAGUCUUCCAUCGUCUUCCUCUAUUCCGACCCCAGGUGUGGCUUCAUGUGCUGGAACAUCGCUCCUGUCUGGAAGUGCUCCUGCACGUUGGUGAGGACUCCCUUCCGGCCCUCGGCUGGCCUUCAUCACCUCACACCUGGAUGACCGCAACAGCUGGCCUGCCUUGGGCUAGCCUUUCUCUGCUCCAGCCUCUCCAGCUGCCAGGACCCAUCUUCUGCAAAUACCUUUGGCAUCACAUCACUUCCCUGCUCAGACCUAUUAGAUCCUAGCUCCAUUCAUCUGGCUGGGAGCCAGCCAAUUGGCCUCCCAUUCUUCCUCUUCCCUCCUUUCAAGUUCACUCCCAUCCAGCCAGCCUCAUAGGUUGCUUUAAAUCUUCUGUUAGCCCCUCUGCUAGUUUGGGUGGUCUCCUUUCCACCUCCUCCCGCCCUCCCUCCAGAAUACUUCUGGUGACUUUGGGGGAGUCAUGCAAACUGUCGAGCUUCUCCAGCCUCUUUCUCAAUGCAUUUGCCUCCCCUGCCCGCAUCGCGGCUCCACCAUUCACCUGCUAGAGGCCUUCAGGCAAGUUGCUUCACCUCUCGGUGCCUCAGUGUUCUCAUUUUUUUCAUCCAUAAAAUGGGGAUCUUAAUGGUACAUCCUCAUCAGUUCGUGGAGAAGAUUAAAAGAGGUGAUAGUGGAGUUCCCAUUGUGGCGCAGUGGAAACAUAUCUGACUAGUCUCCAUGAGGACGCAGGUUCGAUUCCCUGGCCUCGCUCAGUGGGCUAAGGAUCUGGCAUUGCUGUGAGCUGUGGUGUAGGUCACAGACGCGACUCGGAUCCCCCGUUACUGUGGCUGUGACGUAGGCCGGUGGCUACAGCUCCAAUUUGACCCCUCACCUGGGAACUUCCAUAUGCUGCAGGUGUGGCCCUGAAAAGACAAAAAAAAAAAAAAAAAAGGAGAUAGCUGUAAAAGGACCUAGAACAAUAUUCGGCACAAAGUAACUGCCAUGGACACAUCAGCUAUUAUUACUUUUUUUUUUGUCUUUUGUCUUUUUAGGGCUGCACCCAUGGCAUAUGGAAGUUCCCAGGCUAGGGGUCUAAUCGGAGCUGUAGCCUACACUAGAGUCACAGCAACGCCAGAUCUGAGCCGAGUCUGUGACCUACACCAGAGCUCACCACCACGCCGGAUCCUUAACCCACUGAGCGAGCCCAGGGAUCGGACCCGCAACCUCAUGGUUCCUAGUUGGAUUCAUUAACCACUGAGCCACAAUGGGUACUCCAGCUAUUAUUACUUA
rnacentral:lncRNA from 1 species